UCCCCGACCCUCAUUCCCUCAGCGGCGGGAGGAUGUCUCUGGUGUGAUCAGACCCUCGUUCCUCCCUGUGACUGAGCUCAGGGCCAAAGCAGAGAACCACGAGGAGGCCUGCACCAGGAGGACCAACUGUUUCCCCUCCUGCUUCGGUCUGAAUGAUGGUAUCCUGUCCAAAAUUCAUGUGGAAACUUAAUGCCCAUUGCAAAAGUAUUAAGAGCAGCACAGAUGGACAAAGACAUCUCCUUGCCCCAGGAGGUAAAGGGGUCUCUUCGUCCAGCUCCAGUGUGACAAAUCCAGAAGACACCGGCUGGCUUCUUCUUCCGUGCCCAGGAAGAUGAGCUCCUCUCUGACUCAGCUGCAUCUGAGGCUCAGGGCUUGAGUCCAUUGCCACAAGUUAAAAGAAAUAAGAACAAACAGGGGGGUGAGCAAGUGAGCAUGCUAUGCAGAGUAAAUACCAAGAAAAUUGGAUGAAUCCUGGUAAAGACCUGUCACUAAAGAAAGGA